rnacentral:lncRNA from 1 species
AGAGGUGGGCCCGACAGCUGUGGGAAACACAUUCUUGCCUGGUUCUCUCCCGGCCAGUCAGCUGAAGCAGAGGCCCUGCCUACCCAGAGAUUUUCUCAAAGCAGCACGGCUCCAGGGCCUGCUCUAAAGAAAGCCAUAAACCUGAAGCUACUAAGGUCUGGCUCCAGGAAAUCCUGAAUCCAGGAAGGAUGCUCAGCGGGACAGAAUUGAAGACAAUAGUUCAUCAUCUUUCCUUCCCAGGAUCGAGAAUAUCCCAAGGAAAUGCCAAGUAAAAAAGUAAAAUCAGCGAUUGAUUUUGCGUUUGGAGAACUGACCACGUUUCUUGAUCAAAUGCCGAUUGCAAGUCUGAGUCAAGGUUGAGCAUAUAAAGGAAUCCUCCCGGGUACCUCCCCUUGGGGUCUUCACAUGAUGUGAUUUUGAAAAACCAGACUCGGGCGAUCAGAGACCUCACUGCGGAGGAAAUGAAGGAUGCCUCGCUUCCAAUACCUGGCUCCCAUGAACACUCCCUCGGGUCCCUGCUAGCGCCAGCCUGAGACAGAGAGCGCUUCCUGUCCUGCUGACUGCAGAAGUUAAACGGAAUCUCCACUCCCGGAUUGAGGAAAGAAAGGCGUCUUCCUGUUGAUUUUCGCGAGGCUGCUGACCUUCGCGGCGCCCCGACUGGGCCCACCCCGCGGAGCUGUCGGGGCAGCAGGCGCCCAGGACUUCCUGAAUCCCCGGCCCCUCUGGCCUAACCUAGAUCUCCCAGGACUCAGGCCUGGGAAAAUCACGGCGUCUGCCAGGCCCUCCUCGCAGGCUUUGCAGUUUGCUAACUCGCGGUGCGGCCUUGGGACAGUGCCUCAGUUUCCCCAAGUGUAGUGAAGUAGGGCUGGACCGUGAUUCUCAGAAUCACCCAAGAAGCUUUUCCAGCAUCGCCUGCCAGGGUGUCCCUGGGGACCCACCGGAUCGGAGAGGGGGUCGGGGGCGAAAAGCGCCAGGAGGCUGGCAGCCCGGGCUGGAACCCGGGACUCGGGCUCGCCCGCCUCGGCAGCUACUCCACGGUCUGCCUGGCCCCGGAGCUCGCCUUCGGCCUGGGCGGGGUCUUGCGCGUCUCCGGGCCGGUUCCGGGAGGCCGGGCGGGGCGGGGCGGGCCGGGCUGGGUUGUCCCACCGGAAAGACUCGUUUCAGCUGGAGCAGGCGGCGGCCGGGCGGAAACAGACUUGUCGCCCCCGCCUCGGGCACUCCCCGCUCCCCCACCCCACCACCCUCCCCCCCCGCCCUGCGCGGCCCGCCAGGGUCCGGGAAUCGCUGGCCUGCAGCUGGGGCAGCCCCGGGUCACCCCCGCCCACGCCUUCCCCGCCCACAGGACGCGCCCCCUAGGCCACACCUGAGCUCGCCCUGCGGUCCCGGGCAGUGACUCCGCCGAGCCUCGGUGGGGGAGGGGACAGGGGAGAGAAUAGGGAAGAGGGGCGCGAUCUGUGUCUGGGACCCGUUGCCAAGAAACCCGACCCUCGGGCUCUGGCCAUCAGCAGCCGCGGUGCAGCUGCCUCCCCCUGCCUCCAGGUCGCCCAGCAGAGCUUUCUAGAGCUGGGUGCUCAGAAGACCCCAGGCGGAGGCAAGAACCUUGGGCCGCGGCUCUGUGGGAAAAGCCCUCGGGGAAGCCAGACGGCGCGCUCCAGCUCCCCAUCGCGGGCGUGGGCCCCGGGGUGGAGGCAGUUGGGUCGCGGCCCUGCCACCCCCAUGCUGCACGGCCUCGGCCCAGUGCCACCACCUCUGUGGGCCGCCGUUUCAGCCUCCAGAUGGGGUGGCGGCGGGCCCCAGCCCUUGCCCCAAGUCUCUAAGGAAGGGUCUGGCCUGGCCCGCCCAGAUCCGAGCUGCUGCGUACGCGCGGGGCUGGGAGCUGCAAAAACGCCCGGGGCCCAGGGUGAGCGGCUGGGCCCUCGGGGGACCCGGCGCGCGCGGGGGCUCCAGCUCCGCCCUGUUGGGGGCCAGAGCAGGAGGGAGGCCGCCCCAGCUUGUUCUGGGCCGCAGCCCUGCCGACCGCACGGGACAGGCGCCGCGUCCUCUCUGGGCCUCCAAGACGCAGACUAGAAGCCCAUAGCUGCUGGGAAGAUGGGCACCCCAGGUCUCCGCGCACGGCCUUCCCAGGGCCACGGUGAAACAUGGAUGCGACACUCAGGCACCUUCCCGGCCCCCGGCGAAAACGCAAAGCCUGAGCCCAUGAUGGGCUCGGAAGCUCUGCGGGAUUGAGUCAUCAGAGGAAUGCUGAUCUAGAAGUACAAUGGCUGGAAGACACCCGCAGAAACCGCGGGCACUGGAGAGCAAGUGCAGCUUUAAUCUCCAGGCGUGAUUUAGAUGGAAAGCAGCCUGAAGACCAGUUAAGAGAACCGCGAGCAGAGCGCGCUGGACUAGCACCAACAGACGUGAGUUCGAGACCGUCCUGCCCCUUAAUCCUGUGUGACCUUGGUCCAUUUUUUAAGUCUGUGAGCCUCGCAGUGUUCUCAUUCCUGAAAAGAGCCUGCCCCAUCUCCGGACUGCAGUGAGAACAAAAGGAGACUAUGAACAUGACUUUUUGCCACUUUUGAAGCCCCACACUGAGGAAAGAUUUUCCUAGCACUUGGGAGAUUUUCUUUAGCACCAGCUGCCAAGAAUGCUGGGAAGGAGACAGCCCCAUCCCAGAAGGAAGACACCUUAAAUCAGAACUUUAUUUUUCCUCCUAUGAAAAUACAAUCUAAUACUGGAGAAGUGUAAAAAUUAAGGAGUCAUUAGAAGCCAUUUGUUGUUGUUGUUGUUGUUAUUGUUUUGAGACAGGAUCUUACUCUGUCACCCAGGCUGGAGUGAGGUGGCACGAUCAUUGCUCACUGUAGCCUCCAACUCCUGGACUCAAACAAUCCUCCCUUCUCGGCCUCCCAAGUACCUGGGACGAGAGGUGCACUGGGCGUGGUAGCACACAUCUGUAGUCCCAGGUACUUUAGAAGCCGAGAAGGGAGGUCUCACUAUUUUGCCCAGGCUGGUCUCCAACUCCUGGGAUCAAGCCAUCCUCUUGCCUCGGCUUCCCAAAGUGUUGGGAUUAUAGGUGUGAGCCACCACUCCCAGCCUGUUGUUUUAACUUUCUAUCAAAGAAAUGGAUGGAGGGUGGACAGGGAUGCUGGGUGCUUUAGAUUAGACUUGAAAGAGUUAACAGCAUAGGUUACAGAAUCACACAUACCCGAAUUGGAAUCUCAUCUUGACCCUUUACUACCACUGUUUCGUUAUGUUAGUGACUUAACCUCUCUGUGCUUCAGUUUCUUCAUCUGUAAAAUGAAGAAAAUGGCACCAACCUGUGGGGUUGUUGAGAAGAUGAAAUGCAAUAGUGAAUGUAAAAGUGCCUGACAGGACCCAGCACGUGGUAAUACAUAAUAAAUGCUAGCUAGUUUUGGUUUCCA